UCAACCUUCAAACUCCGUGUUUGGCGUUGGGCCUACGUCGCGCCCCCGUGUGCGACCGGCUCCAAAGACAAUGACGGCGUCCGUGGGACCCUCGGUGCAACGAGCUUUUCCAAAGCACGCGUCGAAGCGGAUCUGCGGGGGCCGGUCUCCUGAUGUUUACACAUCACUUCUCA
rnacentral:misc_RNA from 1 species